GGCAAUUCUCUGGUGAUGCACCCUGGAAUCGGGCUUCCUCCUCUCUGCUUCCGGGUCCAUCACUCAAGAACUGCA
rfam:Myotis brandtii contig275943, whole genome shotgun sequence.